GCUCUUGGGUUGUAAACCUCUUUUCUCAAGGAAGAAUGCAAUGACGGUACUUGAGGAAUAAGCAUCGGCUAACUCCGUGCCAGCAGCCGCGGUAAUACGGAGGAUGCAAGCGUUAUCCGGAAUGAUUGGGCGUAAAGCGUCCGCAGGUGGUUUUGUGUGUCUGCUGUUAAAGAGUGAGGCUCAACCUCAUAAAAGCAGUGGAAACUACAAGACUAGAGUACGUUCGGGGCAGAGGGAAUUCCUGGUGUAGCGGUGAAAUGCGUAGAGAUCAGGAAGAACACCGGUGGCGAAAGCGCUCUGCUAGGCCUGUACUGACACUGAGGGACGAAAGCUAGGGGAGCGAAUGGGAUUA
rnacentral:rRNA from 1 species